rnacentral:tRNA from 1 species
AGCUACUUGGCUGAUAGGAAAGCUUAUGUUUUGAAAACAUAAAAUAAAGGUUCAAAUCCUUUAGUAGUUU